rnacentral:lncRNA from 1 species
AUGAAAGAGACGGGAGAGGGAGGAGGAGACGAAAGAGACGGGAGAGGGAGGAGGAGACGAAAGAGACGGGAGAGGGAGGAGGAGACGAAAGAGACGGGAGAGGGAGGAGGAGACGAAAGAGACGGGGGAGGGAGGAGGAGACGAAAGAGACGGGGGAGAGGGAGGAGGAGACGAAAGAGACGGGGGAGAGGGAGGAGGAGACGAAAGAGACGGGGGAGAGGGAGGAGGAGAAAGGGGAGAGGGAGGAGGAGACAAAAGAGACAGGGGAGAGGGAGGAGGAGACAAGAGACAGGGGAGAGGGAGGAGGAGACAGGGGAGAGGGAGGAGGAGACAAAAGAGACAGGGGAGAGGGAGGAGGAGACAAAAGAGACAGGGGAGAGGGAGGAGGAGACAAAAGAGACAGGGGAGAGGGAGGAGGAGACGAAAGAGACAGGGGAGAGGGAGGAGGAGACAAAAGAGACGCGAGAGGGAGGAGGACACGAAAGAGACGGGAGAGGGAGGAGGAGACAAAAGAGACAGGGGAGAGGGAGGAGGAGACAAAAGAGACGGGAGAGGGAGGAGGAGACCAAAGAGACAGGGGAGAGGGAGGAGGAGACGAAAGAGACAGGGGAGAGGGAGGAGGAGACAAGAGACGGGAGAGGGAGGAGGAGACGAAAGAGACAGGGGAGAGGGAGGAGGAGACGAAAGAGACAGGGGAGAGGGAGGAGGAGACAAAAGAGACGCGAGAGGGAGGAGGAGACGAAAGAGACGCGAGAGGGAGGAGGAGACGAAAGAGACGUGAGAGGGAGGAGGAGACGAAAGAGACAGGAGAGGCAGGAGGAGACGAAAGAGACAGGGGAGAGGGAGGAGGAGACAAGAGACGGAGAGGGAGGAGGAGACGAAAGAGACAGGGGAGAGGGAGGAGGAGACGAAAGAGACAGGGGAGGGGGAGGAGGAGACAAAAGAGACGGGAGAGGGAGGAGGAGACGAAAGAGACGGGAGAGAGGGAGGAGAAGACGAAAGAGAUGUGAGAGGGAGGAGGAGACGAAAGAGACAGGGGAGAGGGAAGAGGAGACAAAAGAGACAGGAGAAGGAGGAGGAGACGAAAGAGACGGGGGAGGGAAGGGGAGAUGA